GGAUCAACACGUCGGUCGUGCCUUCGGUAUGAACUGGCGUCGUUGGUUUCUCCCUUCUGACGAACCAAGAUGUCAUUAAGUUGGUGUUUUGGGGAGUUAGGACUGUUACUUUGAAAAAAUUAGAGUGUUUAAAGCGGGCACGCGCUUGAAUACAUUAGCAUGGAAUAACGAAAUAGGACGUUCGAUCUUAUUUUGUUGGUUUCUAGGAUUGACGUA
rnacentral:rRNA from 1 species